rnacentral:misc_RNA from 1 species
AGGCUCUCGCAUCGAUGAAGAACGCAGCGAAAUGCGAUAAGUAAUGUGAAUUGCAGAAUUCAGUGAAUCAUCGAAUCUUUGAACGCACCUUGCACUCCUUGGUAUUCCGAGGAGUAUGCCUGUUUGAGUGUCAUUAAAUUCUCAAACCUCACCUUGUUUUCGGACGAGGCGAGGCUUUGGAUGUGGGGGUUGCAGGAACUUUGGCUUCUGCUCUCCUUAAAAACAUUAGUGGCUACUGUCGUCUCCACUCUAUAGGUGUGAUAAUUAUCAUCGCCGACUAGGGAGUCGUGUAAAGUGUAGUUGCUCUCGAACGGUCUCUUCUUAGGGACAAUUUGAACCAUUUGGCCUCAAAUCAGGUAGGACUACCCGCUGA